UGUUGGUGAUUGCCCGUUGGGGCUUUUGUGAAGAAGGUGGAGCAAGUUUUGUUGGGACAUGCCAAGGUGGAGAUUUGUUAGUUUGGCAAGUCCCAUAGUCCCACAUCGGGAAAAUUAGACUUGUUGUCUCGUCUUGGAACUAUAAAUAAGGGCCUGAGCUUUGAAGUUAGACACACCACGAGAAGGACCACAGACACCACAAGAAGUACAGCAGGCAUCACAAGAAAACCUGCUUAUGGUUUGAAGUCUUCUUGUUUAGGAAGCUGAAGGUGUUUUAUGGCCUAGGAACAUUUCCUAAGGCAUUUAGCUUGCAUAUACAAUGAGAGUGACCACCCAUUGCGACGUGUACAGUUUCGGAGUGGUGACGCUGGAGUUGCUGAUAGGAGAGUAUGGAGAAGUACUCAUUUCCAUUCUGUCGUCUUCACCGAUCAACGAUAGCUUUGUGAAAGACGUAUUGGACCGACGCCAACCUUUUCCUGAGGGUCAAGUUGCGGAUGAAGUAGUUGCAGUUUUGAGCUUGGCUCUUCGUAGCGUGGACAACCACCCUGAAUCACGCCCGACAAUGAAACAGGUCUCCGACAAGUUAUACGUGGUCAGAACACCCCCACCAAGCCUCCGAUCUAUUGAUGCAUUGAAGUUUUCCGACUUGAUGAGCGUGGAGAUAUGAUCUAUAUGCACUCCUCUGUGCCCCGAUGCUUCUUUUGGUCAGGAUCGUUAGACUUUGUUUCCGUGUGGCUUGCUUUAUUAGUGGAUUCAUUCUGCAGCGUGUUUAAUAACAGCAUCGGUUGGUAAUCAAUCUCUUUUCUUGUACUA